GAUCAACGCUGCUUGUUUAAGCCACCAACACCCCAGUUUUUCACUAUACUUCUCGAUGAUAAUAUUCGUGAUAGGAAGCUUGGGAUUCCUAAGAAAUUUGUGCGAAAGUAUGGAAAUAAUUUGCCGAGUUCUAUAGUCCUUAAGGUCGCUAGUGGUGAAAUAUGGCUAGUAGAGUUGGUAAAGUGUAAUGGUGAGAUUUGGUUGCAAAAGGGCUGGCAAGAAUUUGUGGAGUGUUACUCCUUAGUCUAUGGAUCUUUCCUAGUUUUUGAAUAUGAUCAGAGCAACUGUCAUUUCAAUGUCAUCAUAUUUGACAAGAGCGCUUCAGAGAUUGAAUAUCCAUACAGAAGCAAAGGCGAGAUUAUUGAGGACCCCAAUGAUCUUCAGGAAGCCGAAAGUUAUGUCCCUGUUCAAAUCAUAAACGAUACCUUGCUGAUCCAGAAUACAAAAGAGCAUUCACCAUUACCAUUACCAUUGCCUCAGCCUCCUAAGAAGAUCAAGCUAGAGACUCCCACAACUCAAUUUGAAGCAAAAACAGGCAAUGGAGGCAUGUCUAGUCUGAAGAAAAAGUUCAAAAGAGUAGUUGCAAGGACAACCAUAGACAGAUGAUGAAAAGAUUAAUGUGCUUCGUAAAGCAAGUAAUGCUUUCAAAUCUAACAAUCCAUUUUUCAUGGUCGCAAUACAGCCAUCUUAUGUUAAUCCAGGACAGAUAUCAAGCUUUGCCAAGAAAUAUUACAAGAAGCAGCGUGGCUGCCUGGGAAUGACAUCCUUACUGCUACAGAUGGGAGGACUUGGUCUGUCAGCUACUAUAGCGAAACGUGCAAUGGAAAAUCAAAAGCAAAAAUCAAAUGUGCUUGGAGAAAAUUCGCAAAAGGGAAAUUUUUUAAACUGGGUGAUGUUUGUAUUUUUGAACUGAUUAAUCCCACAAAAACUAUAGUGAAAGUCGUCAUUUUCCGAUAGACAAAGGAUGUAAAUAGCUGCCUAUCAGUAGGUCAGUUUUGAUUUAUCAGAGUCCCCUGUUGGACUAGGAUUCGUACUCAGAAUCUCAGUCGGCUUAGGAUUCUUACUUGGUUAUGUGAGUAUCUAGC
rnacentral:misc_RNA from 1 species